UGCCAGCAGCCGCGGUAAUACGGAGGGCGCGAGCAUUAAUCGGAUUUAUUGGGCGUAAAGGGCGUGUAGGCGGAAAUACAAGUCAGACGUGAAAGCCCGGGGCUCAACCCCGGAAUUGCAUCUGAAACUGUAUUUCUCGAGGAUAGUCGGGGAAGACGGAAUUCCACAAGUAGCGGUGAAAUGCGUAGAUAUGUGGAAGAACACCAGUGGCGAAGGCGGUCUUCUAGAUUAUUCCUGACGCUGAGGCGCGAAAGCAAGGGGAGCGAACAGGAUUAGAUA
rnacentral:rRNA from 1 species